rnacentral:rRNA from 1 species
CCAAAAGGGAUUAGCUGCCUCGUGGUAUACCCCACCCGUGUCUAUCUACUCUUGUUGCUUUGGCAGGCCGUGGUCUUCCACUGUGGGCUCUGCCUGCAUGUGCCUGCCAGAGGACCAAACUCUGAAUUUUAGUGAUGUCUGAGUACUAUAUAAUAGUUAAAACUUUCAACAACGGAUCUCUUGGUUCUGGCAUCGAUGAAGAACGCAGCGAAAUGCGAUAAGUAAUGUGAAUUGCAGAAUUCAGUGAAUCAUCGAAUCUUUGAACGCACAUUGCGCCCUGUGGUAUUCCGCAGGGCAUGCCUGUUCGAGCGUCAUUACAACCAAAAUUGAGCCUAGCUUAGUGUUGGGGUUCGCAGUUCUGCGGCCCUUAAUAUCAGUGGCGGUGCCUGUAGGCUCUGAGCGUAGUAAUUCUUCUCGCUAUAGAGCCCUAUAAGUAUCUUGCCAGAACCCCCAUAUUUUUUCAGGUUGACCUCGGAUCAGGUACGGGAUACCCGCU